AUACGUAGGGUGCAAGCGUUAAUCGGAAUUACUGGGCGUAAAGCGUGCGCAGGCGGUGAUGUAAGACAGUUGUGAAAUCCCCCGGGCUCAACCUGGGAACUGCAUCUGUGACUGCAUUGCUGGAGUGCGGCAGAGGGGGAUGGAAUUCCGCGUGUAGCAGUGAAAUGCGUAGAUAUGCGGAGGAACACCGAUGGCGAAGGCAAUCCCCUGGGCCUGCACUGACGCUCAUGCACGAAAGCGUGGGGAGC
rnacentral:rRNA from 1 species